rnacentral:rRNA from 1 species
UACGAAGGGGGCUAGCGUUGCUCGGAAUUACUGGGCGUAAAGCGCACGUAGGCGGCUUCUUAAGUCGGAGGUGAAAUCCUGGAGCUCAACUCCAGAACUGCCUUCGAUACUGGGAAGCUCGAGUCCGGGAGAGGUGAGUGGAACUGCGGGUGUAGAGGUGAAAUUCGUAGAUAUUCGCAAGAACACCAGUGGCGAAGGCGGCUCACUGGCCCGGUACUGACGCUGAGGUGCGAAAGCGUGGGGAGCAAACAGG